rnacentral:rRNA from 1 species
GUGGGGAAUUUUGGACAAUGGGCGCAAGCCUGAUCCAGCAAUGCCGCGUGCAGGAAGAAGGCCUUCGGGUUGUAAACUGCUUUUGUACGGAACGAAAAGGCUCUGGUUAAUACCUGGGGCUCAUGACGGUACCGUAAGAAUAAGCACCGGCUAACUACGUGCCAGCAGCCGCGGUAAUACGUAGGGUGCGAGCGUUAAUCGGAAUUACUGGGCGUAAAGCGUGCGCAGGCGGUGAUGUAAGACAGUUGUGAAAUCCCCGGGCUCAACCUGGGAACUGCAUCUGUGACUGCAUUGCUGGAGUGCGGCAGAGGGGGAUGGAAUUCCGCGUGUAGCAGUGAAAUGCGUAGAUAUGCGGAGGAACACCGAUGGCGAAGGCAAUCCCCUGGGCCUGCACUGACGCUCAUGCACGAAAGCGUGGGGAGCAAACAGGAUUAGAUACCCGGGUAGUCC